UGUGAUUAUAAAAAUGGGAAGGGAAUCUCAAUAAACAACAGAUGGUUGAUUGUCACUGACGUAGCACUUUAGCAGUGAGUUUUCAGGAAAAUUUUUGUCUCAUUACCCACCAAGUGGAACAGAUCUUCUUUCUUAGAACUGCCACUCGAUCAUAGACAUGUAUUUAUGCAAUAUUGAAUAUUCCCCAGUUACAAAAGAUGCUGACAGGUUACAAUUAGUUG
rnacentral:misc_RNA from 1 species